rnacentral:rRNA from 1 species
CAGUCGCCGCGGGAAUACGUAGGUGGCAGGCGUUGUCCGGAAUUAUUGGGCGUAAAGGGCUCGCAGGCGGUUUCUUAAGUCUAAUGUGAAAGCCCCCGGCUCAACCGGGGAGGGUCAUUGGAAACUGGGAAACCUGAGUGCAGAAGAGGAGAGUGGAAUUCCACGUGUAGCGGUGAAAUGCGUAGAGAUGUGGAGGAACACCAGUGGCGAAGGCGACUCUCUGGUCUGUAACUGACGCUGAGGAGCGAAAGCGUGGGGAGCGAACAGGAUUAGAUACCCCCGUAGUCCCUGUCUCUUAUAC